GAAAACAGGAAGCCCGUUUCAGAGCUGUGUUUUGAAGCUGAACUUGCUGCAGACGGAGCCAAGCAAGUUUCCACCCCCUGAAAGCAGACAGGCUCCUGUCCUGUCCUCCGGGACCCGAGACCCGCCAUUACCUGCUAAAUGGAAAAGCGUCUGCGACUGCGGCGCCCUCCUGGUUGUUGGAACGAGGCCUGUUGGGAGGACUCUCCAGGGCAAGGGCUCCAGUUUGGGGUGAUCUCCAGGUGACAGAUCAGUCACAUCUGGAUACUGGGGGGCCGGGCACAAGCCAAUAGCUAAGCUGUGGUUAGUUCCCUGUCUCCGCAAGGAACUCAGAAUCACCCACCCACCUCCUGCGGGGAGGGUGACGUAUAAACCAGACUCACGAUUUUCAGUCCAGAACAGUCAACAGAUACGGGUGGUGUAUCCCGUACUUUUUACGACCCUAGUGAAGUGGGUGGGCAUUCACUGCCUUCCUCUGUAACCGUGACCAGGGCCCGGGAGAAAAGGAGGGAGGGGGGAGGAGAAGGGAGGGGGAUGGCAAGGUCAGCCAGGCCCGGGCCCUGAGACCCGGGGAGGGGGUGUGGUUUAGGGUUCAGGAGGAGCCUGUCACCCUGUGUCCUUAGAAGGCAGUUGUCCCUCACCUGUCUGCAGGGCACGGGGGCCAAGCUAAGGCCUGGCAGGCUCCUCCCCUCUGCCCCCAGCCCCCGCCUUCCCUGUCCCCAGCAGGCACAAGCCUUGCCCUCCAUCUUGCCUGUGCCUGGCCAAGCGGGGGACAGCUGGGAACCACUGUGAGGAGCGCUUUAUGACCAGGUGCCCAAUUGGGCGGCCGCUGCCUGCCCCGUCCUCCCCCUGAGCCUUAGCAGCAGGAUUCAGGGUCGAGGGUCUCGUGUGACCUUCGUGUGACCUUCGAAGAUGGGAUUCAUUUCCAAGCCCCACCUGCAGCUCCCCGGGAGGACGGGAGGAAGGAGGCCGCGGCUGUGCCUCGCACUCCGGCCUCAGGGCCCAGGAGGCUCCGCUCACACCCCAGCAGCAGGCUCGGGCCCUGGCCCCCGCCCGGCGGCCAGCUGGUGCUGUGGUGUGACCUGAUAAAUCAGUCAGUAAGAGUGUGAGUCACAGGUAUGGACCAGUAAAGAAUAGCUCAGAGAUACAAGACCUUGAUAAGUGAGAGAAGACCAAUAAGCAAGAACUGCCACAAUCAGGCCAAAGACUCCAUUUUGCUGCCUUCUAUAAAAAAAAAACAACGGUUACAAGCGCUGUUUCUGAGAAGCUGAAAUGAAAGCUGUUUUCUGUACUUUGUACCCCACAGGAUGUACCCCACAGGAUGUGGUGGUCUUGGUGACCCAAGGCUUUGAAGUAGAUUCUCGCCCCUGCGGACCACCUGCUCGGACUCAGGAUACGGUGUCCCACCUGCUCAGACCCUAGAUGCGACGUCUGAGUUGCUGGGCUGGUUGCCGCCUUAGCUUCCACGACUGGCUUGCUCGCAUGACACCAAGGAAAGUCCCCGAGCUGUGAUUUUCGUCCUUGAUUCCCAAGACCCAGCCCAGGAAGUCGCUGGUCUCCCCCCGGAGCUCCAGUCUCUGGGGUGGGUGACGGCACCCGGCCAGGAAACAAAGUGUCUUUGAUCUGAACUUGGAUUUAGAGUGUUUCUGAAGCGGGUCCCUAACACUGGCCACCACUCGGGUGUUCCUGGGCCCCUCGGGGGCUACGACCCACUGGGACAGGAACACGUGAGCGCACCUGGAAAGCGGUCCGGCCAGUCCCGUGGUUGAACUUGAACGUGGGGCUGGACCUGUGGUCACUCUUCUCAGGACGCGAUCGAGUUCUUCAAAUAAAUACUGUGAAUCUUCU
rnacentral:lncRNA from 1 species